rnacentral:rRNA from 1 species
UACGAAGGGGGCUAGCGUUGCUCGGAAUCACUGGGCGUAAAGCGCACGUAGGCGGCAUGACAAGUCACUUGUGAAAUCUCUGGGCUUAACUCAGAACGGCCAAGUGAUACUGUCGCGCUAGAGUGCAGAAAGGGCAAUCAGAAUUCUUGGUGUAGCGGUGAAAUGCGUAGAUAUCAAGAGGAACACCUGAGGCGAAGGCGGGUUGCUAGGCUGACACUGACGCUGAUGCGCGAAAGCCAGGGGAGCAAACGGG